rnacentral:rRNA from 1 species
GACGAACGCUGGCGGCGUGCUUAACACAUGCAAGUCGAACGGAAAGGCCCUGCUUUUGUGGGGUGCUCGAGUGGCGAACGGGUGAGUAACACGUGAGUAACCUGCCCUUGACUUUGGGAUAACUUCAGGAAACUGGGGCUAAUACCGGAUAGGAGCUACUGCUGCAUGGUGGGGGUUGGAAAGUUUCGGCGGUUGGGGAUGGACUCGCGGCUUAUCAGCUUGUUGGUGGGGUAGUGGCUUACCAAGGCUUUGACGGGUAGCCGGCCUGAGAGGGUGACCGGCCACAUUGGGACGGAGAUACGGCCCAGACUCCUACGGGAGGCAGCAGUGGGGAAUAUUGCACAAUGGGCGGAAGCCUGAUGCAGCAACGCCGCGUGCGGGAUGACGGCCUUCGGGUUGUAAACCGCUUUCGCCUGUGACGAAGCGUGAGUGACGGUAAUGGGUAAAGAAGCACCGGCUAACUACGUG